rnacentral:rRNA from 1 species
ACUGCUCAGUAACACGUGGACAACCUGCCCUUAGGUUGGGUAUAAACCCGGGAAACUGGGUAUAAUACCCGAUAGGUCUCGAUUGCUGGAAUGCAUCGAGAUUUAAAGCUCCGGCGCCUAAGGAUGGGUCUGCGGCCUAUCAGGUAGUAGUGGGUGUAGCGUACCUACUAGCCUACGACGGGUACGGGUUGUGAGAGCAAGAGCCCGGAGAUGGAUUCUGAGACACGAAUCCAGGCCCUACGGGGUGCAGCAGGCGCGAAAACUUUACAAUGCUGGCAACAGCGAUAAGGGAACCUCGAGUGCCAGGUUACAAAUCUGGCUGUCGAGAUGCCUAAAAAGCAUUUCAUAGCAAGGGCCGGGCAAGACCGGUGCCAGCCGCCACGGUAACACCGGCGGCUCGAGUGGUAACCGUUAUUAUUGGGUCUAAAGGGUCUGUAGCCGGCCGGAUAAGUCUCUUGAGAAAUCUGGCAGCUUAACUGUCAGGCUUUCAGGAGAUACUGUCUGGCUCGAGGCCGGGAGAGGUGAGAGGUACUUCAGGGGUAGGGGUGAAAUCUUGUAAUCCUUGAAGGACCACCAGUGGCGAAGGCGUCUCACCAGAACGGACCUGACGGCAAGGGACGAAAGCUAGGGGCACGAACCGGAUUAGAUACCCAGGUAGUCCUAGCCGUAAACGAUACUCGCUAGGUGUCGGCCACGGUGCGACCGUUGUCGGUGCCGUAGGGAAGCCGUGAAGCGAGCCACCUGGGAAGUACGGCCGCAAGGCUGAACUUAAAGGAAUUGGCGGGGGAGCAC